AGAAAAUGACCCCUCGGCUCAGGACCAUCAUCUUGGAGAAGAAAUUUGAUGUUGGUGUUGAAUAAAGUUCACCAAUGAUUUGGCCAUGAAAUAAGAGAUGGAGGAGUUCCUGAAAGCCUGUGUAGAAAGACUUACAGAAGAAAUAAGAAACUGAAGUAAAGGAAACAGGAAAUAAUAAAAAGAAAGGAUAGGGAAGAUGUUACAUUUAGGGGAAGCUGGGUGAAGAGUAGAAGAAACUUCUAUAUACUCUUUUUGCAAAUACUUGUAAGUCUACUAUUAUUUCAAAAUAAAAAGUUAGAACAAAUUUUUUUAAAAGACAUGAGAAAAUUGAGAUGGAGAAAUAAACUGUCUUAAGAGCAAUUCCAUAUAAUUUGAAUAGGCUAAAGGAAGCUUUAGUGAACUUCUCACCAUUCUUUAUUCAAUAUUCAGGGAACAUUUUUUUGAGCACUUUCUUUGUAACCGUCAUUCUUCUAAAUGUUAAAGAUGUAGUAAACAAAAAAUUUCUGUUCUUAUAGGUCUUAUAUUCCAGUUCAUAUUUAUAAUAGACAACUAAUAGGUAGAUAUAUAAUGUGUCAGAUGAUGGUAAAAAUAAAGCAGGGUAAAGGGGUACCGUGAAAUGGGUGAGUGCUGUUCUAGAUAGGAUAUUCAUGGAAGGUUUCUGAUAAGGUAACAUUUGGGCUGAAUGAAGGGAGAGAACUGAGCCACAUGAAUACUUGAGAAAAGAGUAUUCCACACCUAUGGCAAGUAUAAAGGCCCUGAGGUAGGAGCAUGCCUGGUAUGUUCAAAAAACAGCAAGGAAAUCAAGGUGGCAUGAAAACAGCAAGGAGGAGAGAAUGGGGGCUGACCAGAGAGACGUAGAGUGAAUACAGGAAGCAUGUAGGCCUUGAAGGCUAUGGUGAAGACUUUGGAUGUCACUCUGAGUAAGAUGGGAGCCAUUGGAGGGUUUUGAGUAAAACAAUGGCAUAAACUGAUUUGUAUUUUUUAAAGAACCACUUUGGCUGCCAUCAGUGAACAGAUUUUAGGGGGAAAAGAUGGAAGCAAGGGAGCUGAUAAGAGGCUAUUGCACUAAUCUAGGUGAGUGAUAAUCAGGCUUAGACCAGGGCUUUAGUGGUGGAGGUAGUGAAAGCAGUUAGAACAAAGUAGAGCUUCAAUUAAGUUGUCAUUUAGCAAAUAUGAAAGGUUAGUGCAGGCAGGUGGGUCCACUUGUUUUGGACAUGUUAAGUUUAGAUGCCUGUUAGAAAGCUAAAUAGUGGUGUCAAGAAGACACCAAGUCCACUUUUGGAGGCCGAGGGGGGUAGAUCACCUGAGGUUCAAGACCAGCCUGGCUAACAUGGUGAAACCCCAUCUCUACUAAAAUUACAAAAAUUAGCCAGGCGUGGAGGCAGAUGCCUGUAAUCCCAGCUACUCAGGAGGCUGAGACAGGAGAAUUGCUUGAACCCGGGAGGCAGAAGUUGCAGUGAGCCAAGAUCAUGCCACUGCACUCUAGCCUGGGCAACAAAGAGCGAAACUCUGUCUCAGAAAAAAAAAAAAAAAAAAAGAACAGAAGAAGGAGACACCAAGUCCAUAGUUUAGGUACAAGCUGGAGUUUGCACAUAAAAAAACUUGGAAGACAUCAGCAUGGAGAUGGUAUUCAAAGCCAAAGGCUAGAUGAGCUCACUGAGAGAAUGGGUUUGAAUAAAGAAGGCAGGUGGCUCGAGAACUGAGCAGUCCCCACUUUUCAAGGUGAAAGAGGAUAAAGAAGAAACUCAGGAGUAGUCUGUGAGGCAGAAGAAGAUCCAAGAAAGAGAAGUGUCCAGAAGACCAAAAAAAAGUAUUGCAAGGAGAAAGUGAUUGGCUGUGACCAACAAGUUGGGAGGUAAAGAUGGAGACUGAAAACUGGCCACUGGAUUUAGCAAGUAAGUACCAUAAAUGACCUCAACACAAGAGUUCAGAGACAGCGGUUAGGGCUGAAAGCCUGAGAGGAAUAGGUUUAAGGAUGAAUGGGAGGGGAGAAAGUAUCUUUACAAAAGUAAAGUCAACGUUGUCAAGGGGAAUUGCUGUAAAGGAAAACAGAGAAAUGGUGUGGUAUGUGAAGGGGAUGUGGAGUUGAGGAAGUUCUCUUGGAUUUUGUUCUUUGAGACUGGAAAUACAACUUAUUUGUAGAUAGGAAUCAUCCAGAAAGCAAAUAAAUCUUCCUGAAAUAGGUCAGGAGUUUUAUUUAACCAAGUUGAAGUGUGUAAAGUAGGAAUCAGGAAGAUUUUAGUUGCAUUAUUCUUGAUUAAUUAAAAAGGGAAGUGGCUGAGAGAGGAACUACCAGUAGUAUUACCAUGAUUUCCAUGGUCAUGACCUUAGCUGGGCCCUAUUGAUAAAGGUGAAUGCAUGAGAGUAAAGAUAAAGGAAUAGAAACUUCACAAAGCUUCAGAGAAAAGGUCAAAGAAGAGAUCUGAAAUGAAUCCAUGAGAUAUAGCAAACAGCAAAAUAAAGCUAGACAGAAAUGCUGGAGAAUUUUCUUGAUAGGUGUACAGAAAUCAAGUGCAAUUAUUUGGGUUUGAGAUGUAUGAGUUAUUUAUUAUAAAUUGCUAUGUGCCUUGUGUAAAACAAAAUCAGACAAUAUAGAACUACAUAGGAUAAAAAACGGAAAGUAUGUGUGCGCACACGCACGUGCACACACACACACGUGCACACACACACACUUUCUUUUUCCCUAGGGGGAACCACUGUUAACAAUUUGGUGCAUCUCCUUAUAGAUGUGUAUAUGUGUGUGUAUAUCCAUGCAUAUAUGUAUGUAUGUAUAAUUACAUUACAAAAAUAUCAUAUACUAUUUACACUAUUCCGCACCUUGCUUUUUAUACCUAAAAUAUGUCUUUUGUAUUUUUCCAUCUCAGUAAAGAUAGCUCUACUUUCUUCUUUAUUAAAAAAAUGAAUAGGCAAUACAUGAACAUGAUACACUAUAUAAAAGGGACAACAGAGAUAGUCUUCCAAUUUCUGAGUCAGUCAGUUUCUCCCCAGAGACAACCACUAUUACCAGUUCCUUAAAUGUCCUUCCUCAGUUAGGCAAUGCAUAGAAACAUAUAUGUAUGUAUUUAUACAAAUGGUAGCACACCAUACACAUUGUUCUGUGCUUUGCUUUUUAAAUUUUAACUGUGUAUCGUGGAUACCACUCCAUAGAUGAAGCUGCCUCAUUCUUUUAAAUGGCAAUAUAAUACUGCACUCUAUUGUCUUUAUUUAAUUAAAUCCUGUAUCUGAAUGUUUCUAAUUUUUCACAAUGAGCUCAAUGCAACCAUACUGAGCAAUAAUGAAGAACUUAUUCAACAAGAAGAAAGAAAAAAAACAAAAUUAAAAAAAAAGACCAAAAGAAAUCAUUUGAGACUGUAAAGAAUUGUGAAUUAAGACCAAAUGAGGCCAGGCACGAUGGCUCACACCUGUAAUCCCAGCACUUUGGGAGGCCGAGGUAGGCGAAUCACUUGAGGUCAGGAGUUUGAGUCUGGCCAACAUGGUGAAACUCCAUCUCUACUAAAAAUACAAAAAUUAGCCAGGAGUGGUGGCAGGAAGCUGUAAUCCCAGCUAUUUGGGAAGCUGAGGCAACAGAAUCACUUGAACCAGGGAGGCGAAGUUUGCAGUGAAUGGAGAUCACACCACUGCACUCCAGCCUGGGUGACAAACUAAGACUAUCUCAAAGGAAAAAAAAAAAAAAAAACUAAUGUCACUAAAAUGAUCCAUUUACUGGGAAAACUCCAAAACAAAAAACAAUAGUGAAAUUUUCCUUCUAUAUAAAAUACAUUAUUAACUGAAUUGGCUAGAAAGACAAUGUCUUGUGGCGGCUAGUCUUAGGCAUGGAAGAUGUCAGUUCUGUGACCACUGGGUAGGUGAGUAAAAUUGAAUCAUUCAAUUCUCUUUGCUUCACUUCCCCAUUUGGAAGAGGAAUAAUUGUGUUCAAUGUCUCUACCUGCUCUGAAGACAUGCAGGAAAAAACAGAAACAUGAACCUGCACAUAGCAGAAAAUUCUCAAGUAAGAUCCUCUCGGGUAAUAAUGUUAGAAUGACUCUGGCCAAGUUAUGUCUUAAAGAGAGCAGCUGAAUUUAGAGGCAGAGACAUGUGUGUAUCAGAAUCAACUGGGAAGAGUUUUCAAACUACUCCUUGUCUUGCUCCCUCCCCGCAUCCCAGUUGAGAACCAUAAUGACUGAAGAAAACUUCCGGUGGCUGGUGCCAUAAGUGAUAGGACAUAAGCAUUUGGGUUCUAAAAAAGGGGGAGAUGCACACAGUGGUGAUGAAGGUCAUGAGUUUCAGUUUCAGGGAUGCCUGGGUUUGAGCAUUGGCUUUACUCCUUAUUGACUAUAUGAUCUUGAACUAUUUAUUUAAACUUUGGAAAAUCUUCAUUUCCUCAUCUGUGAAGCACCUGCCACAUAGUUAGUACUCAAUAGUUACGGCAUUGGUUCCUUGGUAACUCUGACCUUAACUGUCCACUUUGAACUACAGAUUUAAGGAAAUAUCUGCUCUCAUAUGGGUUUAUCAAUUAAUUCUCCCAUAACAGUUUAAUAGAUGUAGGAUCUGUAAAAACAUAUAUGCAUAAAUACAUAAUUUUAAAGCUGGACAUGGCUCUUUAAUCAUAAAGUUUACCCUCAAUAAUGCCUCAUUUUAUGAAUGUAGAAACUGAGGCUCUGAAAGGCAUGAGACUUGUCCAAGGUGAUAGAGCUGAUAGGCAUGAGUCAGGACUAGAGCUGAAUCUUCCAUCUUCUAGUCUAGCAUCUUCUUGUCACUUCUUGCCUCUCUAAAACCACACAUUUAAUAAGAUAAAAUAUACUUGCUUUAAAAAGCUAAUGAUGUGAAUAUUAUUUCCUUUCUAUUUCAGGGGUCAUUAUAUAGGACAAGAAAAAUCCUGUGAAGUGAUCCUCAUCCAGCUAAUAAAAUUAACUAUACAAGAAGGUAUAGAAAACCCCUCCCUAUCAUUGCAGAGGUGGCAUCCAAAGACCCAAGAAAGGAGUCAGCAAUAGCCUAGGAUCCAGGACUCAGAGAGAGACCCAUAUUGGGAAAAGGUGCUGAAUAAGGGGUAGAGUUUUUAUAUUCCUUACCCAGCCCCAAAUUAACUUCCCCAGGCUAGUCCUCUGUUUCAAGCUUCUAUGCCUCCCUUGAGGAGUCACAAGAUUUCCAAAAGCUCCAUGUUUUUUUCACAUGGCUGUUUCUUCCUCGAAUUCUUUAUUCCUGCCCACCUGACUAAUAUGGACAUUAGUGUAUCUGCAAUAAAUUUAUACUACAAUUCUGCCAUCCUAGGCAAACAUGGAGGUGACCAGACCCGCAAUGAAUUCAGGAAGCGGAAUGUGGUUAGUGACUAAUACCAAGGAAUCAUAAAUGCAAUUCAACUGAUAACAGUUAGGUCUGCGCCUCUAAAAACAGGACCAAAGGAUCUUCUGGGCUCCCUCAACAAAGCUGGGCGCCAACACUGACUGAAUAGCUAUCCUUGGGUCUGACUCACCCGACCCAGUGGAGUGGAGGGGAAGGUCACAGAACUGGAAGCACAUCCAGUCCAGUUCUGGACACCUGCCUGUCUGCCCACGAAUGACCACUGUGGAAUCUAAGGCAAGCAGACAGCUCCCAAAACUCACCCUGGAGUCUGCCUCCGUGCAUGGCCCAGCAACCACAGCAGUCUCCACUCCAUCCCUGGCCACCAUCAGAAAGGCAUCUGUUACCUCCUGCCUGGCCUUCAGUUCUGUGGUUGCUAGUAUAACCCAACGGCCAUAAAUUUCAAACUCUGCUAAAUGUUGACCUACUUCUAACUCUGACUGCAACACUUCCCCUUUGGGAUAACGGUCUUACUCCUGAGUACUCUCUGCUAAAUGAGUGCCACCUUGUCUCUUUCCUCUGCAUCAUUAUAAUUAAUAAGCAACAAUAUCAUCCCUCAUGAUUAUGUUCUUAUUAGAUGUUAACUGGCCUUAGCAUCAUUAUCUCAUUAAACCUUUCCACCUAAAUUACUUUAUCAGCUUCCCUCCUAAGGAGGUCUGGUACUGUCUGUCUGAAAGGAAUCUCCUACACAAACACAAGAAACCAAAAAGGAUGAUCACUGGUAUUUAGUCCUGCUCCAAAUACUAAUAUUUUUAAAAAAUUAAUGUUAUUUCUACUACUAACAAUAACCUUACAUUGCUAUAAAUCUUCUUAUCCAAAGUAUUUAAAGCUAUACCCAUAAGUUUUUUAGCUUCCUCUCAUUUUUAUGGGGAAAAAAUGUAAAAGAAUGCAUUCUAUAAUAUUUCUAACUGUUAAAACUUCCUCCCUUAUCAUUACCCAUUUCUAUUUGGAAAAACUAUUUCCAGUUCUUUCAUUAAGAUGAUGAAUUUCAAAAUUUUAUAGAAAAGGCUGUAAAAUAGGUUUGCUGGUUUACUUCAGUUGUUCUAGGUGCAAUCUUUUCUUCAACUUUCCUGAUAAUGCUUAGCUUUUCUUUCCUUUAAUAGCAUUCAUUUUAUACAUUAACCUUUUAUUAAAAAGUAGAUGAAAACUAUUCUGCUCAUAAAUGAAGAACAUAGACUAGUACGUUUCUCUAGAAAUGCUUUCAUUCCUGAGGACUAAUGACAUUUAUUGCUUCCUCUGUUGUCCUCACAAUUUCAUGUUAACCAUGAACUCUUUUAAUCUUUUCCUUCUUUAUUACUAAGUUCUGCACAUUCUCCAAAGUUUGGGAAGAUAUGCCAUCGAGAGUCCAAACUUGCCCUUUUACAGCCAUUAAUCAUGUUUUGUUUCCCACCCUAGUCAUCUCUUCCCUUCCUUGCCAUCCCAAAUCCCUUAACUAUCUACCAUCAUUCAUCCUCACUUUCCCAAGUAAUUUGCUAUUUUUUAAUAUCUUAUUAUCUCAUAUUCCUCAUUACCCACUUAUCCUUCAAACUCUAUUGUUCAUUUAAUUUUCUCAGAAAUUAUACAGUCUUAUUUGGCUUGCAGCAUCUUUCUCCCCAUUCUUGCACACCUACCUCACCUUCCCACUUUCCAACUUCCUUUUUGUUUCCAAAGGUGCAGAUCAUGAUUUGAAAUGAUGGAAAUAAAUCUUAAUCUCCUUCCACUUACUUAAUUUUAAAAAUCCAAUGAUCAUUCCCAGAGGGAAACCUAGGUUUGUAAUUCUCAAGCCUUGCCACAGAAGCAAUCAAAUACACUAGGUCUCUUUUUAUUUAAUCAUGGAUAAUACAAGGAAACGCUUUCUAAAAUGAAAUAUUGCACAGUUGGUUGGUGUUAAUCUGAGAUGCGCCGACCAUUCUUUUUCUCCUUUGGGAGUGAAGCCUAGUAUGGUCAGCCAAGGACACAUUUGUGUCUUAUGAAUCUAUGUCACAUAAGCCUUUUUUCUUAGGGAUCUAAAUAAACCGCUAAAUACAAAUCCUGCUGUCAUCAAGCUUUCUGUUAGUGUCCAGCCUCUUUUCUUAGAAGAGCAUAAUCUUAGCUUUAAAAAUUUUUUGUUUAUAUUUUGUUUUUCAACCUUCACAGGCUUUGAGGCUGUUUUCCCUUUCUCUUGAUCUUUCUUUGCUCCUCCUGAAAUCUCAGGCGAAUUAAUUUUAGCAAACACUGCAGGCAUGCAGUCUUCCCUUUAUUUUCUCUAUUUCAGGAUCCUUCCUCACCUAAUCCUUCUCCAGUUCUUUCCUUCCUAUUUCAAGUGCAGGACAGGGAUGAACUCCCAUCUUUGGACAGCCCCAUCUUUAUAUCAUCCUUCACUUUCCUCUCAUCAUUUCAUUUCACUCCAUACACACACUACUUUCGUUCCUGACCAUGUUUGGCCACUUGUGUGGCUGCUGAAGUUCUGGCAGCCUGCCUUCCUGGCCAUGAGUACAGCUACUUGGUUCCUUCAGUGCCCCCCAGGUGCUGCCAAGGCAAAGGCAUCAUGAUCAUUGACUUUAUCAGUGAUAACACCAAGGCAAUGGAAGUAAACAUACAUAGGGACAGCCUCAUUUCAUGCUUAAAGGAAGAACUGGGGCAAUUUCCCCAACUCAACUAUCUCCCAUUGAACUUCUCUGAAGAAUAGUGUUCCUUUUCAAAGCUUAUUGAUUUUCCCAUUCCAUUACAGGCAUAUAAAGGCCUUAUAUGGGAAUGAGAUUAGUAAAUUGUAACUACUGAAACCUAGCAUGCAUCUCCAUAUGAUUAUGACCUUACUCUCUUUCUACACUGGCCAAAGGUAUAGAUGCUUGUGCAGUGGGAAAUCCUGCUCAUUGAAUGACUAUGAGUACGUUUCUUUGAAAAGAACAGAGUUUUCCUGAGUUAAUCCCUUUUUUAAUAAUCCAAAUUAUCUACUCUUUUUUUCUAAAAUGUGACCCCUUUCCCCCUCUGUAUUCUAUUACGAUUCACCACGAUUUCUCCUGAGGGUACAAUAGAGUCUAAUUUUCUUCAUUAUUCAAUUUGGAUCCUGUUAAGAGAGACAGACAUUCACUGACAAGAAGAACAUUUAAAUUUUGGCAAAUAAGUUCAUUAGUAUUCAGAAAGCUUUGCACCCCUCAUAUUUAAUAAACCUUUCCAUUACAGAGUAAGAAAUCCUGCAAAAUAGUCAAACAAAUUAGCAAUGGGGCCACCAAGAGAGUACAUUCAACCUGGAUUCAAAGAUGUCUCAGUUUAUUAGUUUUCUGUCAAUCAUUAAAACAAGAAAGAUGAAAC
rnacentral:lncRNA from 10 species